GCUUGACUGGCUCAGUCGGUAGAGCACACGACUCCUGAUUUGGGGUUGUGAGUUCAAGCCCCAUGUUGGGUG
rnacentral:tRNA from 1 species